rnacentral:rRNA from 1 species
GGUUAAGCGACUAAGCGUACACGGUGGAUGCCCUGGCAGUCAGAGGCGAUGAAGGACGUGCUAAUCUGCGAUAAGCGUCGGUGAGGUGAUAUGAACCGUUAUAACCGGCGAUUUCCGAAUGGGGAAACCCAGUGUGUUUCAACACACUAUCAUUAACUGAAUCCAUAGGUUAAUGAGGCGAACCGGGGGAACUGAAACAUCUAAGUACCCCGAGGAAAAGAAAUCAACCGAGAUUCCCCCAGUAGCGGCGAGCGAACGGGGAGGAGCCCAGAGCCUGAAUCAGUGUGUGUGUUAGUGGAAGCGUCUGGAAAGGCGCGCGAUACAGGGUGACAGCCCCGUACACAAAAAUGCACAUAUUGUGAGCUCGAUGAGUAGGGCGGGACACGUGGUAUCCUGUCUGAAUAUGGGGGGACCAUCCUCCAAGGCUAAAUACUCCUGACUGACCGAUAGUGAACCAGUACCGUGAGGGAAAGGCGAAAAGAACCCCGGCGAGGGGAGUGAAAAAGAACCUGAAACCGUGUACGUACAAGCAGUGGGAGCCUCUUAAUGGGGUGACUGCGUACCUUUUGUAUAAUGGGUCAGCGACUUAUAUUCUGUAGCAAGGUUAACCGAAUAGGGGAGCCGAAGGGAAACCGAGUCUUAACUGGGCGUUAAGUUGCAGGGUAUAGACCCGAAACCCGGUGAUCUAGCCAUGGGCAGGUUGAAGGUUGGGUAACACUAACUGGAGGACCGAACCGACUAAUGUUGAAAAAUUAGCGGAUGACUUGUGGCUGGGGGUGAAAGGCCAAUCAAACCGGGAGAUAGCUGGUUCUCCCCGAAAGCUAUUUAGGUAGCGCCUCGUGAAUUCAUCUCCGGGGGUAGAGCACUGUUUCGGCAAGGGGGUCAUCCCGACUUACCAACCCGAUGCAAACUGCGAAUACCGGAGAAUGUUAUCACGGGAGACACACGGCGGGUGCUAACGUCCGUCGUGAAGAGGGAAACAACCCAGACCGCCAGCUAAGGUCCCAAAGUCAUGGUUAAGUGGGAAACGAUGUGGGAAGGCCCAGACAGCCAGGAUGUUGGCUUAGAAGCAGCCAUCAUUUAAAGAAAGCGUAAUAGCUCACUGGUCGAGUCGGCCUGCGCGGAAGAUGUAACGGGGCUAAACCAUGCACCGAAGCUGCGGCAGCGACGCUUAUGCGUUGUUGGGUAGGGGAGCGUUCUGUAAGCCUGUGAAGGUGUGCUGUGAGGCAUGCUGGAGGUAUCAGAAGUGCGAAUGCUGACAUAAGUAACGAUAAAGCGGGUGAAAAGCCCGCUCGCCGGAAGACCAAGGGUUCCUGUCCAACGUUAAUCGGGGCAGGGUGAGUCGACUCCUAAGGCGAGGCCGAAAGGCGUAGUCGAUGGGAAACAGGUUAAUAUUCCUGUACUUGGUGUUACUGCGAAGGGGGGACGGAGAAGGCUAUGUUGGCCGGGCGACGGUUGUCCCGGUUUAAGCGUGUAGGCUGGUUUUCCAGGCAAAUCCGGAAAACCAAGGCUGAGGCGUGAUGACGAGGCACUACGGUGCUGAAGUAACAAAUGCCCUGCUUCCAGGAAAAGCCUCUAAGCAUCAGGUAACAUCAAAUCGUACCCCAAACCGACACAGGUGGUCAGGUAGAGAAUACCAAGGCGCUUGAGAGAACUCGGGUGAAGGAACUAGGCAAAAUGGUGCCGUAACUUCGGGAGAAGGCACGCUGAUAUGUAGGUGAAGCGACUUGCUCGUGGAGCUGAAAUCAGUCGAAGAUACCAGCUGGCUGCAACUGUUUAUUAAAAACACAGCACUGUGCAAACACGAAAGUGGACGUAUACGGUGUGACGCCUGCCCGGUGCCGGAAGGUUAAUUGAUGGGGUUAGCGGUAACGCGAAGCUCUUGAUCGAAGCCCCGGUAAACGGCGGCCGUAACUAUAACGGUCCUAAGGUAGCGAAAUUCCUUGUCGGGUAAGUUCCGACCUGCACGAAUGGCGUAAUGAUGGCCAGGCUGUCUCCACCCGAGACUCAGUGAAAUUGAACUCGCUGUGAAGAUGCAGUGUACCCGCGGCAAGACGGAAAGACCCCGUGAACCUUUACUAUAGCUUGACACUGAACAUUGAGCCUUGAUGUGUAGGAUAGGUGGGAGGCUUUGAAGUGUGGACGCCAGUCUGCAUGGAGCCGACCUUGAAAUACCACCCUUUAAUGUUUGAUGUUCUAACGUUGGCCCGUAAUCCGGGUUGCGGACAGUGUCUGGUGGGUAGUUUGACUGGGGCGGUCUCCUCCUAAAGAGUAACGGAGGAGCACGAAGGUUGGCUAAUCCUGGUCGGACAUCAGGAGGUUAGUGCAAUGGCAUAAGCCAGCUUGACUGCGAGCGUGACGGCGCGAGCAGGUGCGAAAGCAGGUCAUAGUGAUCCGGUGGUUCUGAAUGGAAGGGCCAUCGCUCAACGGAUAAAAGGUACUCCGGGGAUAACAGGCUGAUACCGCCCAAGAGUUCAUAUCGACGGCGGUGUUUGGCACCUCGAUGUCGGCUCAUCACAUCCUGGGGCUGAAGUAGGUCCCAAGGGUAUGGCUGUUCGCCAUUUAAAGUGGUACGCGAGCUGGGUUUAGAACGUCGUGAGACAGUUCGGUCCCUAUCUGCCGUGGGCGCUGGAGAACUGAGGGGGGCUGCUCCUAGUACGAGAGGACCGGAGUGGACGCAUCACUGGUGUUCGGGUUGUCAUGCCAAUGGCACUGCCCGGUAGCUAAAUGCGGAAGAGAUAAGUGCUGAAAGCAUCUAAGCACGAAACUUGCCCCGAGAUGAGUUCUCCCUGACUCCUUGAGGGUCCUGAAGGAACGUUGAAGACGACGACGUUGAUAGGCCGGGUGUGUAAGCGCAGCGAUGCGUUGAGCUAACCGGUACUAAUGAACCGUGAGGCUUAACCUU